CUACUGGGUCGUCAACUUCUUUUCCUCGGAGAAGAAACACUGACGGUAUCUGAGAAAACAAAAACAAAAAAAAAAAAAAAAAAAAACAGAAUAAGCAUCGGUAACUCUGUGCCAGCACCGCGGUAAGACAGAGGAUGCAAGCGUUCCGAAUGAUUGGGCGUAAAGCUCGUAGGUGGCUUUUCAAGUCCGCCGUCAAAUCCCAUGGCUUCACCCUGGACAGCGGUGGAACUACCAAGCUGGGAGUACGGUAGGGCAGAGGGAAUUUUCCGGUGGAGCGUGAAAUGCAUUGAGAUCGGAAGAACACCAACGGCGAAAGCACUCUGCUGGGCCGACACUGACACUGAGAACGAAAGCUAGGAGCAAUGGUCUUAGAGACACCAGUAGUCAGCCUUAAACGAUGGAUACUAUGGUGCUGUGCGACUCGACCCGGGCAGUGCUGGUAGCUAACGCGUUAAGUAUCCCGCCUGGGGAGUACGUUCGCAAGAAUGAAACUCAAAGGAAUUGACGGGGGCCCGCACAAGCGGUGGAGCAUGUGGUUUAAAUUCGAUGCAACGCAGAAGAACCUUACCAGGGCUGACAUGCCGCAAUCCUCUUGGAAGAGAGGGGUGCCUCGGGAACGCGGAACAGGUGUGCAUGGCUGUCGUCAGCUCGUGCCGUAAGGGUGUUGGGUUUAAGUCUCGCAACGAGCGCAACCCUCGUGUUUGUUGCCACUAUGAGUUUGGACCCUGACAGACCGCCGGUGUUAAGCCGGAGGAAGGAGAGGGGAUGAGCCAAGUCCUCAUGCCCCUUAUGCCCUGGGCGACACACGUGGCUACAAUGGCGGGACAAAUGUCGCGAUCUCGCGAUGGUAGCUAACUCCAAAAACCCGUCCUCAGUUCGGAUGGGCAGGCUGCAACUCGCCUGCCAUGAAGCAGGAAUCGCUAGUAAUCGCCGGUCAGCCAUACGGCUGUGAAUCCGUUCCCGGGCCUUGUACACACCGGCCCGUCACACUAUAGGAGCUGGCCAGUUUGAAGUCUUACCCUUAACCGUAGAGGGGGAUGCCUAGUCUAGGCUUGCGACUGGAGUUAAGUCGUAACAAGGUAGUCCGUACUGGAAGGUUGCGGCUG
rnacentral:rRNA from 1 species